GGUGGACUCGCUCUGCUUCCAAGUCAACUCCAGGAUGGUUCAUUUGCAGUGAGAAAGCGAUUCGACUCUGAAUCACUUCACUUACUGCCAUGUGUUUUGGGUUGCAGGUAGAAUUAUUUUGUAGAUGCAAAGGUGCAAACUGAGCCAAAGAACACAAAUUUAGCAACUGUGGCUCAGGUGGUAGAGCGGGUUGUCCACUAAUCGUAGGGUUGGCAGUUUGAUUCCCGGCCCACGUGACUCCACAGCCCAAAGUGUCCUCGGGCAAGACACUGAACUCCAAGUUGCUCCCCAUGGCAAGUUAGCGCCUUGCAUGGCAGCUCUGCUACCAUUGGUGUGAGUGUGUGUGUGUGUGUGUGUGAGUGUGUGUGUGAGUGUGUGAGUGUGUGUGUGUGUGUGAGUGUGUGAGUGUGUGUGUGAGUGUGUGUGAGUGUGUGUGAGUGUGUGUGAGUGUGUGUGAGUGUGUGUGUGAGUGUGUGUGAGUGUGUGAGAGUGUGUGUGUGAGUGUGUGUGUGUGUGUGAUGUUGUGUGUGUGUGAGUGAGUGUGUGUGUGUGAGUGUGUGUGUGUGAGUGUGUGUGUGUGAGUGUGUGUGUGUGAGUGUGUGUGUGUGAGAGUGUGUGUGUGAGAGUGUGUGUGUGAGAGUGUGUGUGUGAGAGUGUGUGUGAGAGUGUGUGUGUGAGAGUGUGUGUGUGAGAGUGUGUGUGUGAGAGUGUGUGUGUGAGAGUGUGUGUGUGAGAGUGUGUGUGUGAGAGUGUGUGUGUGUGAGAGUGUGUGUGUGUGAGUGAGUGUGUGUGUGUGAGUGAGUGUGUGUGUGUGAGUGUGUGUGUGUGAGUGUGUGUGUGUGUGUGAAUGGGUGAACGAGACACCGUGUAAAGCGCUUUGGAAGCGCUAAUGUUAAAAAAGCGCUAUAUACGUGCAGACCAUUUAGUGCUGCAGAAACGGACCCCAUUGUGGUAAACAAAAUGUUUACAGUUAGUUCAUUGUAUAAUUAAAUAAUUUAAUUCAAUUGAAAGUUAUUGAGUGCCAGUAAUAUUUGCCGAAGUAAUAUUUGUGAUCCGUAUGCACCACUGACGAAUGUCUGUUUGCCGUUUUCUGCCGUUAAAUCUCUGACGAAUGAACGGAAGAGUUCUGUGAGUACAUUUUCAGCCCUACGUGACCAAAUAGCAAAUGAACUAAAAGUGUCCUUUGAUUUGGGUUCAAGCAACCGACUAGUCAUUGUUUCUAUAGCAUGUAUAUCCAAGAAAAAAACUAAACUGCAGCUCUCCAUAGAGCGAUUUUGUGGCUGAGGGAAAAGAACGAUGCUUAUUAAAAACCCUGAAAUGGCCUUCAACCAUCAAAACAAAAAAAAAGGUUCACUGAUAAAACCAUUAAUAACUUAAAUCACUUUGAUAAAAUCGAAAAGAAACCAGAGAAACGUCUAAUCGUGCAAGCUUUCUAAAUAAAGGAUUGACAUUUGUAUGUGUCAAACGGCCAUCUUAGGAAUUCUGGAAGUCAUGCUGGACUUACAUCAACAGCACUGCAAUCUGUGCAUCUUUAGAGUACGACAAGGGAGAGUACGGGGUAAAGCGUCUUGCUCUAGUUGUUAUUACAUAGCUUUUAUAGGAAAGGGCUCCGGGGGAAUUUGUAGAGAGAGUGGAAAGGGAAUGGUGCUCAUAACCACGAUAAAAGCUCUCCUGGGGCCGGAGAGACACUUUAAGUCCACUGACCAUCAUGAUCAGACUGAGAUUUCAUGGCAAUGAGUUGUCUUUCAUAAAAAUCCAUGAUGGAAGAAAUUGUUUCCAGUUCUACAGGGAGGCGCUCGGGGUACUCUCAGUCUCUCUGGCUCUUUCCAAUACCCUACAUGAGCAGUUAUCCCCGAGCAUUUUAUUCUAUUAUUUAUUUUAUUUCUUCAGAUUAAUACUUGAUUCCGCUUAAAUACGUAACUGAAUUUUGUCAGCCACUGUUAUUUAUUUAAAUGAGUCAGACGUGUCGGUGAACAAGAGGCAUGUCGGGAGUUCAUGUUGAAUUCGUAUUGCGUGCACAUAUUUCAUUCAGAUCUUACCGCCGCCUCCACUGAAUCGUGCAUUUUUGCAUUAGAGUUAAGCAAACACUUUAAUCGAGCCACUUAAUUAGCCGACGCCGAGCACUAUAAACGAUGCUGUGGUAAAAUGAAGUGAUUGUGAAUGGUUGAAAUGUCAUGUUGAGAGUGCCGUGUUUUGUAAAGUGCCUAAUUCCCGCAGUCUGAGGUUUAUGUGGGAUGAUGCUACAGUGUCCCCUCUGAUUACUAUAAAUCUUUAUCACUUGCCUGCUGGCAAUAGACUGCUCGUGUGAAGAGGGCUACCAGUUUAGGUUCUUGCCAGCCAUAAAAAAAAAAAAAAAAACCCACACCUGGCUAGCAUGAUCUUGGCUGCUUUCAAUAGUUUACAUGCUAUGUUAUAUUUCAAAAUCCCACCACCAUUAUUUUCAAUUAUGACCGUGGACGAUUAUUAUUAAUUGCCUUAAUUCAUUUUGAAGGGAACAAUUGUCAGAGUAUAACCAGCAAAUUAGACCGUCA
ensembl:lncRNA